rnacentral:rRNA from 1 species
GACGAACGCUGGCGGCGUGCUUAACACAUGCAAGUCGAGCGGUAAGGCCCUUUCGGGGGUACACGAGCGGCGAACGGGUGAGUAACACGUGGGUGACCUGCCCUCAGCUCUGGGAUAAGCCUGGGAAACCGGGUCUAAUACCGGAUAUGACUCCAUGAUGCAUGUUGUGGGGUGGAAAGCCUUGUGCGGCUGAGGAUGGGCCCGCGGCCUAUCAGCUUGUUGGUGGGGNGAUGGCCUACCAAGGCGACGACGGGUAGCCGGCCUGAGAGGGCGACCGGCCACACUGGGACUGAGACACGGCCCAGACUCCUACGGGAGGCAGCAGUGGGGAAUCUUGCGCAAUGGGCGAAAGCCUGACGCAGCGACGCCGCGUGAGGGAUGACGGCCUGGUGUAAC